rnacentral:rRNA from 1 species
AGCUGUGUAGAGACAGUCGUCGAUAGCGUACUGACGUACUACAAAGCAGCUACUACGUCAGCAGCCGCGUAAUACGUAGUGCAGCGUGUCGAUAUGGCGUAAGCGCGGCAGCGUCUUUAGUCUGAUGUGAAGCCCACGCUCACGUGGAGGUCAUGAAACUGAGACUUGAGUGCAGAGAGAGAGUGAUCACGUGUAGCGUGAAAUGCGUAGAUAUGUGGAGAACACAGUGCGAAGCGGCUCUCUGGUCUGUAACUGACGCUGAGGCGCGAAAGCGUGGGAGCAAACAGGAUUAGAUACCUGGUAGUCACGCCGUAAACGAUGAGUGCUAGGUGUUGGGGGGUUCCACCCUCAGUGCUGAAGUUAACACAUUAAGCACUCCGCCUGGGGAGUACGACCGCAAGGUUGAAACUCAAAGGAAUUGACGGGGGCCCGCACAAGCAGUGGAGCAUGUGGUUUAAUUCGAAGCAACGCGAAGAACCUUACCAGGUCUUGACAUCCUCUGACAAUCCUGGAGACAGGACGUUCCCCUUCGGGGGACAGAGUGACAGGUGGUGCAUGGUUGUCGUCAGCUCGUGUCGUGAGAUGUUGGGUUAAGUCCCGCAACGAGCGCAACCCUUGAUCUUAGUUGCCAGCAUUUAGUUGGGCACUCUAAGGUGACUGCCGGUGACAAACCGGAGGAAGGUGGGGAUGACGUCAAAUCAUCAUGCCCCUUAUGACCUGGGCUACACACGUGCUACAAUGGACGGUACAAAGGGCAGCAACACCGCGAGGUGAAGCAAAUCCCAUAAAGCCGUUCUCAGUUCGGAUUGCAGGCUGCAACUCGCCUGCAUGAAGCCGGAAUUGCUAGUAAUCGCGGAUCAGCAUGCCGCGGUGAAUACGUUCCCGGGCCUUGUACACACCGCCCGUCACACCACGAGAGUU